GGGAAUGAGCGGCGGACGGGUGAGUAACACGUAAGGAACCUGCCCCAAGGAUUGGGAUAACUCCGAGAAAUCGGAGCUAAUACCGAAUAGUUCUUCAGACCGCAUGGUCUGAUGAUGAAAGGCGCUCCGGCGUCACCUUGGGAUGGCCUUGCGGUGCAUUAGCUAGUUGGUGGGGUAAUGGCCCACCAAGGCGACGAUGCAUAGCCGACCUGAGAGGGUGAUCGGCCACACUGGGACUGAGACACGGCCCAGACUCCUACGGGAGGCAGCAGUAGGGAAUCUUCCACAAUGGACGAAAGUCUGAUGGAGCAACGCCGCGUGAGUGAUGAAGGUUUUCGGAUCGUAAAACUCUGUUGUAAGGGAAGAACAAGUACGAGAGGGAAUGCUCGUACCUUGACGGUACCUUGCGAGAAAGCCACGGCUAACUACGUGCCAGCAGCCGCGGUAAUACGUAGGUGGCAAGCGUUGUCCGGAAUUAUUGGGCGUAAAGCGCGCGCAGGCGGCCUUUUAAGUCUGAUGUGAAAGCCCCCGGCUCAACCGGGGAGGGUCAUUGGAAACUGGAAGGCUUGAGUACAGAAGAGAAGAGUGGAAUUCCAUGUGUAGCGGUGAAAUGCGUAGAGAUGUGGAGGAACACCAGUGGCGAAGGCGACUCUUUGGUCUGUAACUGACGCUGAGGCGCGAAAGCGUGGGGAGCAAACAGGAUUAGAUACCCUGGUAGU
rnacentral:rRNA from 1 species